GAACACCAGUGGCGAAGGCGACUUACUGGGCCGUAACUGACGUUGAUGCGCGAAAGCGUGGGGAGCGAACAGGAUUAGAUACCCUGGUAGUCCACGCCGUAAACGAUGAGUGCUAGGUGUAGCGGGUAUCGACCCCUGCUGUGCCGGAGUUAACACAAUAAGCACUCCGCCUGGGGAGUACGGCCGCAAGGUUGAAACUCAAAGGAAUUGACGGGGGCCCGCACAAGCAGCGGAGCAUGUGGUUUAAUUCGAAGCAACGCGAAGAACCUUACCAGGUCUUGACAUCGAGGCAAAGCCGUAGAGAUACGGUGUUCAGCAAUGAGGCCGAAGACAGGUGGUGCAUGGUUGUCGUCAGCUCGUGUCGUGAGAUGUUGGGUUAAGUCCCGCAACGAGCGCAACCCUUAUUGUCAGUUACUAACGGGUAAAGCUGAGGACUCUGACGAGACUGCCGGGGACAACUCGGAGGAAGGUGGGGACGACGUCAAAUCAUCAUGCCCCUUAUGACCUGGGCUACACACGUGCUACAAUGGUGGUUACAGAGAGGAGCGAGCCCGCGAGGGGGAGCGGAUCUCAGAAAAGCCAUCUCAGUUCGGAUUGUGGGCUACAACCCGCCCACAUGAAGUUG
rnacentral:rRNA from 1 species